AUGCUGCCCACAGCCCGCAGUGCAUCAUCCAUGGGCACCCCUGGUGGCUCCCACCCCCUGCUCCAUCCAUUCCUGUCCCUUGUUCCAUCCAUUCCUGCUCCUGCUCCAUCCAUUCCUGUUCCAUCCAUUCCUGCCCUGCCCCAUCCCCUCCUCCCUUCCCGGCUCCCCGAGCCGCCAUCCCAGCUGGAAUUUCCCUCCUCCUCAUUCCGGAAUUGUUUUAAUUUGCUCUGCUCCAUAAUCCUAUUGCAGCUUAACGUGCAGAACUGUCCCGGGCUUUUCUCACCUUCCACCGGGGCUCAUUCCCGACCGCCCUCAGCUCUCCCGGCUCCGCUUCCCAACGAGCUCCAAACGGGAAUUUAUAUCCAUGGACAUUCCCGGAGCUCUUGGAUCAGGGAUGGGCCUAAAUCCCUAAAUCCGGGCUGGAAUUUAGGGAUUCCCACGUUCCCUGUUUUCCAGCUCCUCCAGGAGCCGAGGGAAUCCGCUCCUGCGCUCCCUACCCAGGCCACGGACAUGGACAAGAAAAACGGAUUCUGAUGGGUUUUUAAUGGAUUCUUUGGGGAAUUCAGAGUUGAGAGGGAGCGGAGGAGCCCGGGGGGAGAAGGAAAUCACCGCGAGCCUCAAUUCUCAAGGAAUUUCCUCAAAGAAAAAGAGCUGUGAAUGAUCCGGGAAUGGGGAGCGGCUCCUCUCCCAUCCCAGGGAACACUUCCUAACGUGGAAAACCUCGUGCCAUCCACGCUUCCCUGUUUUCCCUGUCCCCAGACAUUCCCGGGACUGGAUAUGCACCUGCUUCCUUUCCUUAAUGCUUUUUUCCCCAAUUCUCCCUUUAUUUUUAAUAUUUAUUUUUUAUUUCUCAUCCCUUUAAUUCCAGAUUCCAGAACCUCUUGGCUCUUCCCAGCAAAGAGAGGAGAAAAAAUUCAUUCCCAGCCCUCCUGAGCUGGAAGAAAACCCCAGAAAUUUGCACCUGAAAGUCUCAGAAGCCGAAACAAAAGAAGCCAAAAUUCCAGAGUUUUUCAGCCACGCCUGAGGAGCUCCAUGAGAAGUUUGGCACACCCAGAAAAAUAAAAUAAAAAAUAUUUUUCCCA
rnacentral:lncRNA from 1 species